CCUACGGGGGGCAGCAGUGAGGAAUAUUGGUCAAUGGGCGCGAGCCUGAACCAGCCAAGUAGCGUGAAGGAUGACUGCCCUACGGGUUGUAAACUUCUUUUAUAAAGGAAUAAAGUGAGGCACGGGUGCCUGGUUGUAUGUACUUGAUGAAUAAGGAUCGGCUUACUCCGUGCCAGCAGCCGCGGUAAUACGGAGGAUCCGAGCGUUAUCCGGAUUGAUUGGGUUUAAAGGGAGCGUAGAUUGGUUGUUAAGUCAGUUGUGAAAGUUUGCGGCUCAACCGUAAAAUUGCAUUGAUACUGGCAGCCUUGACUACAGUUGAGGUAUGCGUAAUUCGUGGUGUAGCUG
rnacentral:rRNA from 1 species